GUGGAUCCUGUGAACUGCAGGACACAUGAACACCGAUACGUUGAACGCAUAUUGCGCAUCGCACGACAGUGCGAUGUACACAUUUUUGAGUGCCCAUCCUCACCGAGCCAACUAUCGGGGAGCGCCGCUUGGGCUUCCUGAUGCAUAAUGAUGAGUUGCCCGGCCACGGUCUGGUCAAUCAUUUAAGGACUGUGUGCGUAGGAGGGACCGACCGGAGCGUUUGCUUUCGCGAGUGGAGUCUUCGGCGUCACGGCUGAGCCUCUGGGCUACUAUCUUACGACUCUCAGCGACAGGACCUUCCAUGGUGCAGGCCAAAACCUUCUCGAACGACCAUACGCGUUCGGUGGCUCGCGAUUGCUUGUGACAACAGAGAGUUAGCGGAGAAGACACAGCAUCGCUAGAGAGCGGGUGUAUCGCUAGAAGUCGCGGACUUUCCACAGCCCAUCGCGAUCAGUAAGAGAGACAUGAACUCGAUCUAUAGUGGGCCUCAAAUAAUGUGUGACUACCCCCUAAAUUUAAGCAUAUCGACAC
rnacentral:rRNA from 3 species